rnacentral:sRNA from 1 species
GGGAGGGGCGGGGGUGGGGGGAGUGUGCAAAGAAGAGAAGUCAGAAAGAGUGUGGCCAGCUCAGAGAGCCGUGGAGAGACUAGUGUGGACGUUCUACAGGGAAAUAAGCUCAGAGCUUCCACUCCCAGGAGCAGACAGAGCGAUGACACCCUAAACAGCAGGUUGAACUCUGACUGGGUACACGGACGGAUUGGCGGCAAGUAAACAAAAACCUAAACUUGGCACUCCUCAGGAGCGGGUUUUAGUUAGUCAGGAAAAGCUUUAUCUUCCUUUAUCUGCCCCACCCCCCCAUGGUCAACGACAAUGGGCAUCUAGUUCCUUGCUCACCCAAACAGCCUGCCACAGAUCCAAGCCCCAGUGCUAACUCUCAGGCUGUCCUGGCUUGCACCCCCUCCUGUCACUACUUGUGCCCAUAAAACCAACAAUGCCUUUUCCUGCAGCCACUGCUGUCUGCCCCACCCCGCCCUGACCCCUGACUUCAGAGACAGUCUAGAAGCUUGAUUCUCAAAUAAACUGUCUUUCUUCCCACAGAGUGGUCCAGAGUCCAGUGGCUUCACAGUGCCUGGCUUACAGUUCUCUCCAGGUUCCUAUUGCUAAGGGACGUGUGUGCAUGUGUGCACACAUGGGACAGCUCUAGAGCACUGAAGCUCACGGGCCAGCAGAAAGUGAAGUGGGGACACAGAAGAUGCAAACACAGGUUGCCUUUCAUCUGCUAUAGAAAGCUAGUCCUGCAGAGAAUUGUAAGAUGUCAUACAGGUGAAGACAGGUACAAGAUAGAACAAAGCCUAUCAUUGGAUGAGAAGGAAGGAGAAAAAUCUGAGGAGGAGACUGGAACAGAAGGAGACAGAAAGAGGAAGCAGUGGAGAGGGCAUGGAGGCUGAUUCCACUCUGUAUUGACAGGGUUUAAAACCAACCGAGCCAAAACCUGGGCUCGUCCCAAACUCCUGACAGAAGCGUGACUCCAUUAAUGGCUGCACAGAAGGAGGGCAAAUGCACACCAGCAGGCUGGGUGACUAUGUCACUUUCUUCAGCAAAGGUGGAAAGAUGCAGCCAAUCGCAGGCACAUUUGUAAAGAGACCAGUUCAGAGUUUAUUCAAACAAGGACAGGACUCUGGUACGUCCAAACAGCCUGGGUAGGGCUCAUGACUAUGCUUUUGAGCGCCUUCGCUGCCUCACACCUGAGCUUACCUAUACGGUGCUGGCCUGGCCAUCUUAAGGCCACAGAGCACGCAGUGUUUUCAUUAUACCUUCUCAGUGCGGGCUCGAGGUGCCACCUGGCUCCAGCACUCCUGGUCCACUUUCUUCCUUAACUUGGCUGCUCCAGUGUUCAUAUUUCUCCAUUCCCAUCUCUCCCGAGCCUGGCUACUCUACAAGCAUUAAGUACAGCAAGGAGGCUGUAGGGCGAUGUUACAACCAAGCUAGCCUUGUUCUCACUAAACACCUUGUUUGGCAGGAGCACACAGAGUGGGUGCUCUAGUGAGGUUUCUGCUGAUGACGGGAAGACUUCAAUAAGGAAGUUCUCUGAGGGGAAAAUAGUAUUAAAUAACCCGGGAUUGUAUUUGCCCCAAGGCCCAUCAGUGAGUAACAGUUUGAAAAGGCAGACAUUAAAGCUAACUGGACUAAUGGCUCUCUGGAACAUGUUCCUUAAUUGAGCUUGAGGGAGGGGCAGCAAGUGAACCUGGAGCAGGGACUCUGUCCAUUUUGUGCCAGUUUUUACCACAGGGCCAUGAGCCUUGGCCACUGUUCUGUUAUGCCUGGUUGUAGAGGGAAAUAAAAUCAAACCCACUGGCCUACGUUUAGGCAAGAAAACCCAAACUUUUAUAAGAUUUGAAACAGAGUUGGACAUAUUUGGGGAGGGUGGUUUUGAACUCAUUAUCAACAUCAGUGACACAGAGGGGCCACUCCCUCUCCUCCUUAAUCGAGGUUUUGUCGGUGGAAGCUUUUGUGAGGAGCCCAAGUCCCUAGCUGCCCAGCGUAAAGUGUUGUUUUUUUUUUUUUUAGAUGCACACAUAUAAACCUCAAAAUACUUUAAAGUCAACUGUAGCAAAACCCCUUCGCUUCCCACUUCUUCCCACGAGGAGUUGGCUGUAAGAAUCCUAUCAGAAGGCCCAACUACUGGAGGCUCCUAGACCUCUGCCAUGUCUCCAGACCUCUGAGCAUCUAGGAAGGAACUUCUCCAUGGAGUGCUCACAACUGGGACAUAGCACACACAGGUAGGCCAUGCAUGGGCAGUACAUACAGGUACAGCUUUGUCUGUGCCAAUGUAAGCCCAUUCCAUUGAAAGAGAUACAUAACAUCCCCACACAAGUAGACCCAGUGUUUCUUGCAAGACUCAUUGCAAGAGAGUAGUAAGUUAUUCUUCAAGGACACAGAAACCACAGUGUAGUCCCAGGAGCGAGGAGACAGUGGCUCCUGUCACCUCAUAGGUGCUCUUCAUCUCGCUCUGAUGUCAGGAAGGGCAGAAGGACCUUCACACAAGGGACUAUAUCCACUAUUAGCGAACCAAUUUCAGAGGAUUUUUUUUUUUAAAGAACAAAGUGUAAUUCCAACCAGGAGGUGAAACCCACGUGGCUCCUACAUGCAACUCAAAGUUAACGAAAAACCUCGAAAACACGUUGGAAUGGUCACAGAGGAAAAAAAAAAUCCUACAGUUCAAAAAAGGUCAGCUUGGUCACAGAAGGGGAAAAAAACAGCUCAAAGCACUUCACGCAUCUCUCCUGUGCUUCGAGCACGGGAGGGGCCUCGGUCAGAGGGCUGGCCGGCCUGUUACCUUUAAAAUGAUCUCAAAAGCAAAAGUACCCGUGAAGACGUAGUCCGCAUAACCUAGUAUCUGGAAGGAAAGCACAGAGCACAACCAUUACU